rnacentral:rRNA from 1 species
GACAGAGGGGGCAAGCGUUGUUCGGAAUUACUGGGCGUAAAGGGCGCGUAGGCGGCCUUCUAAGUCGAACGUGAAAUCCCUGGGCUCAACCCAGGAACUGCGUCCGAUACUGAAAGGCUUGAAUCCGGGAGAGGGAUGCGGAAUUCCAGGUGUAGCGGUGAAAUGCGUAGAUAUCUGGAGGAACACCGGUGGCGAAGGCGGCAUCCUGGACCGGUAUUGACGCUGAGGCGCGAAAGCCAGGGGAGCAAACGGG